GCGCCUGUAGCUCAACUGGAUAGAGCGUCGGGCUUCGAACCCGCAGGCUGGGCGUUCAAAUCGCCCCAGGCGCA
rnacentral:tRNA from 1 species